AAUAGACACAUGAGAAUUCAUACAGGAGAGAAGCCUUUUUUGUGUAAAGAAUGUGACCAAAUAUUUAGGAGUAAAGACAGUCUGAAAAGACACAUGAGAAUUCAUACAGGAGAGAAGCCUUUUAUAUGUAGUGAAUGUGACAAAUGUUUUAAUGAUAAAUCUAAUCUCAAAGCACAUAUGAGAACGCACACAGGAGAGAAGCCUUUUUUGUGUAAAGAAUGUGACAGAAGUUUUAGUUAUCUAGUUUCUCUCCAAACACACAUGAGAACUCAUACAGGAGAGAAGCCUUUUUCGUGUAAAGUAUGUGACAUAAGUUUUAGUCGUACAGUUUCUCUCAAAACACACAUGAGAACUCAUACAGGAGAGAAGCCUUUUAUGUGUAUAGAAUGUGAUAGAAGUUUUAAUAAGACUUCUCAUCUCAAAUCACACAUGAUAACUCAUACAGGAGAGAAGCCUUUUACGUGUAAAGAAUGUGAUAGAAGUUUUAGUCAAAUAUCUAGUCUUAAAUCACACAUGAGAACUCAUACAGGAGAGAAGCCUUUUUUGUGUAAAGUUUGUGACAAACGUUUUAGUCAUGCAGUUUCGGUCAAAACACACAUGAGAACUCAUACAGGAGAGAAGCAAGGGAAACCCACAGUAGGGGAGCCAUGAAGAAAAGACAAUAAUGUUUUAACUAGGAAGGUUUAAGUAUUGUAAAAAAAAAAAAAACAUUUUCCCUUGUUUUAUUUUAAAAAUAACAUAAUAAAGACCCUAAAAUGGUCUGUCAGUUGGUAAAAUGAAGUGGGUUUCUAAAACACUUCACUGCUAACAAGCUGUGUGGAGAUUCUGCUUUUACUUUCCAGCAGAACUUGGAUCAUUUCCACUCUACUAAAGGUACCUAAAGCUGCUUAUCCCUAAAUAUCUGUUUCUGUGUUUGAUCAACCAGCAAAUUCCCUGACCUGAACCCAAUAAAAAUUCUAUGAAGUGUUUUUAAAGAGGAAGAUGACACGGCAGAGCCAACAAUGAAGAUGAGCUGAAGUCAGCUAUCAAAUCAACCUGAGCUUUCAUUCCAUGUACACAGAGCCACAGGCUGAUGGCCUCCAUACCACAUUGAUGCAGUCAUUCAAUGAAAAGGAGGAACAAGUGAUUAUUGAAUGGAGACAAAAUAACAGUUUUCUGAAUCUGACAUGUGCGGAAAACAUUCUUCUGAUUGAAUAUUCUCAUUUUCUAUUUUUAGGUUUUCUAUCAGCCACUAUGAUCACAUUGCUCAAAAUAAAGGAAUAAGUAAAUAAUUCUAUACAUCAUGAGUUUCACUUAUUGGAUGGAUUGACAAAAGUAAUACAUUUUUAAACUUUGCUUUUUCUAGGUACGCAUGUAGAUAUAAAUGUGUUGUUUUGAUUUAUUAAAUAUAUUAGAUUAAAAUUGUAAAGACAUUAUGAAUAAGUUCAAUUUUUGUUGGUUACAUUUGUAUUGUAAGUUUUUGUACUUUUAUUGUAUUGUUUAAAAGUGUUUAAGUGAACCAUUGUGGUUUGAGUUUAUGCUGAGACAAUCUUGUCUAUCUGUGUUACCAUGACAACACAUGAAUUAUUUCAAUGCAUCUCUAAUUCUAACACUUUUUUAUGUGAUUUUUGAACAUGUCAAUAUUGUUUUUUAAUAUAAAAUAAUCACUGUUAAUAUGUUGUUGAGUCAUGUUAAUAAUUAACCAUUUUGUGAAGAAGAGAUUUUCCUAAAAUUGUUUAAGGAAGAGUCUGUGUGUUGUUGUGAUUCCUGUUUUGUAUCAGAGAUUAGAAGUGCUUCUGUGUUCUUUAGUUCUCAGUGUUCUGUCUCAAUCUUUCCUGUGAAGAAUAAAGUGGACGUGAACAUCA